UGGCCCAUCGGGGCCUCGGAUACCUGCUUUUAUUAUU
ensembl:misc_RNA